UGAGCAACCUGCCCCUGGCUCUGGGAUAACUCCGGGAAACUGGGUCUAAUACCGGAUAUGACUCCUCAUCGCAUGGUGGGGGGUGGAAAGCUUUUGUGGUUUUGGAUGGACUCGCGGCCUAUCAGCUUGUUGGUGUGGGUAAUGGCCCACCAAGGCGACGACGGGUAGCCGGCCUGAGAGGGUGACCGGCCACACUGGGACUGAGACACGGCCCAGACUCCGUACGGGAGGCAG
rnacentral:rRNA from 1 species